rnacentral:rRNA from 1 species
GAUGAACGCUGGCGGCGUGCCUAAUACAUGCAAGUCGAGCGAACAGACGAGGAGCUUGCUCCUCUGACGUUAGCGGCGGACGGGUGAGUAACACGUGGAUCACCUACCUAUAAGACUGGGAUAACUUCGGGAAACCGGAGCUAAUACCGGAUAAUCUAUUGAACCGCAUGGUUCAAUAGUGAAAGACGGUUUUGCUGUCACUUAUAGAUGGAUCCGCGCCGCAUUAGCUAGUUGGUAAGGUAACGGGUUACCAAGGCAACGAUGCGUAGCCGACCGGAGAGAGGGAUAGGCGACACGGGAGGGGGGACGGGCACAAGAGGACUGAGGGAGGGAGCAGAAUGGUAUGGGACGCAAUAGGGGAGAGUAUGGCGGAGCAGGGCGAAGUGAGAGAUGAAGACCUUGGGAGCGUGAAGCUGGGUUAUGAGGGGAAAACAGAUGUGGAAGGAGCUGUGGACGUCGUGACGGUACUUGAUAAAAAAGCAACGGCUAACUACGUG